AUUGAACGCUGGCGGCAGGCCUAACACAUGUAAGUCGAGCGGAUGACGGGAGCUUGCUCCUUGACUCAGCGGCGGACGGGUGAGUAAUGCCUAGGGAUCUGCCUGGUAGUGGGGGACAACGUAUCGAAAGGAACGCUAAUACCGCAUACGUCCUACGGGAGAAAGCAGGGGACCUUCGGGCCUUGCGCUAUCAGAUGAGCCUAGGUCGGAUUAGCUAGGUGGUGGGGUAAUGGCUCACCAAGGCGACGAUCCGUAACUGGUGUGAGAGGAUGAUCAGUCACACUGGAAGUGAGACACGGUCCAGACUCCUACGGGAGGCAGCAGUGGGGAAUAUUGGACAAUGGGCGAAAGCCUGAUCCAGCAAUGCCGCGUGUGUGAAGAAGGUCUUCGGAUUGUAAAGCACUUUAAGUUGGGAGGAAGGGCAGUAAGUUAAUACCUUGCUGUUUUGACGUUACCGACAGAAUAAGCACCGGCUAACUCUGUGCCAGCAGCCGCGGUAA
rnacentral:rRNA from 1 species